UACCUCCUGAGGGCCAGAAACCAUGGGAUAGGAAGUCAGUUUUCUCUGUUCGAAUCAGAAGAAUCCAAGACAGACAAACUCUGCUGUCUCUCACUCUGGCAUAAGAGAAAUGUAGAUGAUAUGGGAAGAACUCUUGAGUACCUACAGAGAAAAGGAACAGUCAGAAAUAGCAGUGCUAUUAAUUUUUAUGUGAAAGCCUUCACCCCAGACUAUGCUGCAGCCUUGAGCGCCUCUUUGAAUUUUGAGACGACUCGCAGCUACAGGACAAAUGCUGGAAUGGGAGCAACCGUUUCAUAUUUUCUGGAACAUUGGCACUGGAGCCUCUCAAGGAACGAUUCGGUGAGAAUGGAACAUGAUUGGCAAAACCCUGAAGCCAAAAAACCAGGGAGCCAAUCUGUUUUGUUGCUUUCACACCUGUUUGUGUUGUAACAGGAGCCAUG